rnacentral:piRNA from 1 species
UUAUUAUUAUUGAACGCAGGUGG